UCUCCUCACAGUGCAGGAGGGGCUUUUCUGAAGGGCAGGUAGCUGGCGUCCGGGCCGACAAAGUUAAGAAAAUAAACAACAAAACACCUGGGAGGAGACACGUGGAGGGCUUAGAGAGGCUGAGGGGGAUCAGGAUAGCCUCGUGCAGGUGGAUGACAAGAGGAGAGUAAGGCAAAUGUUGACCGCAGCAGGACACCACAGAUGGCAACCUGCAGAUAAAAUCUAGCACCAGCCUAGCAUAUUUGAAUGCAUCAUGUAAAGCAUCUCCACAAGAUGCCUAGGAGCCAAAUAACUGCUGCUGCACAGAGCUGAAGAAGCCACAAUGAUUACCUAAGAGAAGCCCUGAACCAGCCUUCUGAGAGCAUGAAGCUUGCCUUUUUCAUCAUGAGAAAAUCUUAGGGAGCCUGGCAAUAAAUGUGGGUGAUGGAGGCAGCACAAGAGGUAUCAAAUUUUAUAGCUGACUCCAUGAUUGCUUGCUUAGGUUUGUCCAUCUGUGGUUCUCCAGACCCUGACAACACACUUCUCCCUGAUUAACCUCCACUCCAUACCCCUUGUGGACUGAUAUUUCCAAAGAGAUUCUGCUGACAACAUUUUGAUGCGCUUCCCUUCUGCAGAUCCCAAUCUGUCUGUUCAGACCUGUUUUGUCUGCCAUUGGGAGUGAGGAGUGGAAUUUCACAUAGAAGGACAUCUUCUCUGGUUACCAAUUUGCCUUUUAUUUUUACCUAAGUGACUGUCAGUGAGGCCUCAACAUGUGAAGUGGCACCUGCUAUAUUUUGCAGGACAGGUCUGCCUGUCAUUUUACCCUUAUUUAUAUGGUUAGUGCCAGAGGCAUACCAGAGCUGGAAUCCUAGUUGUAGUAAGUUCUAUACAGGAACAGAAAAAGCAAAAAUUUGUCACAAGAGUUUACACUGCAGGUAAGAGAACGGUGGAGCACAUAAGCAGAGUUAUUAGAUUGAGCUUCUGUAAUCACUGUCAUUUUAAGUGGGAAAGAUUCUUGAGAAUGGCAGAUUGAAUAGUAAAAAAAAAAAAAAGAAAGGAGUGAGGAAAUAGAGGAAUAAUAGAAUGUGUAAGAGGAAAAAGAAUAAGGACAUGACAAUAUUGUGGGGUAAGAACGUUUAAAAGCAUUUCCAAAUGUGGGCCUUAUCUGCCCUUUCUUCUUCCCAUUUCCUCGGGACUUUGGCAUGGGAAGAUACACCUCUGUUGUCUCAGGGAUUUGUAAUUAUGAUACAGUAUUGUGCCUUGAGCCAGCAGCGCGCCCACUGCAUUCCCAUGCUGCACUUCAGAGGUGGAGUCACUGUUCAUGGGAGUGUUUUAAAUAUAUCAUUGCUAGUAAGCAGUUUCUGAUUUCUAAAGGUAAAAUAGUUUGCGAAAGAAA